UACGUAGGUGGCAAGCGUUGUCCGGAUUUAUUGGGUUUAAAGGGUCCGUAGGCGGUUUUGUAAGUCAGUGGUGAAAGCCCAUCGCUCAACGGUGGAACGGCCAUUGAUACUGCAAGACUUGAAUUAUUAGGAAGUAACUAGAAUAUGUAGUGUAGCGGUGAAAUGCUUAGAGAUUACAUGGAAUACCAAUUGCGAAGGCAGGUUACUACUAAUUGAUUGACGCUGAUGGACGAAAGCGUGGGGAGCGAACAGG
rnacentral:rRNA from 1 species